GUGUGAGGUGGUGCUAUGUAGCAGGAACCCCUCUUGCUUUGCAAAUAGUUUUUUGUUUGUUUUCCUUUUUGCCCAAUAGAGCCCUGCUCUACUGACCCUUCAAUGUGCCCGUGUGCCUAAAUAUUCCUGGUCGUGUGAAAAGAACCCAGGUAUUAGCUGAACUAAGGAGCACAAUUCUGCAACAUUUUGGCACCCAAACACGGGGCUUGAGAAAUGAAUGCAAUUGGAGAAACUGGUUGUUUUACCAGGCGUUGAUUGGAAAUGUGUGCUUCCCUUUAAGCAGUCAAGCUCAACUUGCAGAACUGAUGGGAACCCCUUGGGAAAACUGGCCUCAAAUGUUUGUCUACACAGUCCACAUACAGGGUUCUUAACCUGCGUAGAGACGGGGUUUCAUCGUGUUAGCCAGAAUGGUCUCGAUCUCCUGACCUCGUGAUUCGCCAGCCUCGGCCUCCCAAAGUGCUGGGAUUACAGGCGUGAGCCACCACGCCCAGCCGGCAUAUUUAACUAUCCGGCUAUUUUGGAGAUUGAAAAAAGAAGACCUGAUUUAUCAUGUGCAAUAUCUCACACAUCUGUCAUUUCUAUUCUACCGCAAUUCGAUGGAGUCUUGUUCUGUGGUCCAGGCUAGAGGGCAGUGGCAUGAUCUCGGCUCACUACAAGCUCUGCCUCCCGGGUUCACGCCAUUCUCCUGCCUCAGCCUCCUGAGUAGCUGGGACUACAGGCGCCCGCCACCACGCCUGGCUAAUUUUUUGUAUAUUUACUAGAGAUGGCUAGUGUUAGCCAAGAUGGUCUCGAUCUCCUGACCUCGUGAUCUGCCCACCUCAGCCUGCCAAAGUGCUGGGAUUACUGGCGUGAGCCACCGUGCCUGGCCAGCAUCCUCUAAUUAUUAUUCAUAGUUUGUGAAUUUAGGCCUACGUGAAUAAUAAUAUAAUAUUUACUAUGAUGUUACUAUCUACCAACCUUAUUUUUCUUUUCUAUAAAAUAGGAGCCAAAAUAAUAUUUAUGUCAUACCUUAUGAAGUUAAAAUAAAAUAUAACGAAUGAGGGGCUUAACAA
rnacentral:lncRNA from 1 species